GGAUUAGAUACCCUGGUAGUCCUAGCUGUAAACGAUGGAUACUAGACAUAGGAAUUGGAUUAACGAUUUCUGUGUCGUAGCUAACGCGUUAAGUGCCCCGCCUGGGGAGUACGGUCGCAAGACUAAAACUCAAAGGAAUUGACGGGGGCCCGCACAAGCGGUGGAACAUGUGGUUUAAUUCGACGCAACGCGAAGAACCUUACCUGGGUUUGACAUCCCCGGCCGACACCAGAGAUGGUGUUUUCUCUUCGGAGACCGGGUGACAGGUGCUGCAUGGCUGUCGUCAGCUCGUGCUG
rnacentral:rRNA from 1 species